CCUACGGGCGGCAGCAGUGAGGAAUAUUGGUCAAUGGCCGGAAGGCUGAACCAGCCAUGCCGCGUGAAGGUCAGUGCCCUAUGGGCGUUAAACUUCUUUUGUGCGGGAGCAAUAAUGGUCACGUGUGGCCAGACGAGAGUACCGUACGAAUAAGCAUCGGCUAACUCCGUGCCAGCAGCCGCGGUAAUACGGGGGAUGCAAGCGUUAUCCGGAUUUAUUUGGUUUAAAGGGUGCGUAGGCUGUGAGGUAAGUCAGCGGUGAAAUGCCCCCGCUCAACGGGGUGAAGUGCCAUUGAUACUGUCUGGCGGGAGUGGGGGUGAGGUGGGGGUAAUGGGUGGUGGAGCGGUGAAAUGAAUAGAUAUAAGACAGAACACGGAUUGAGAAGGCAUCUCAAGAAUCCGCGAUGGACGCUGAUGCAGGAAAGGGUGGGUAUAAAACAGGAUUAGAUACCCGAGUAGUC
rnacentral:rRNA from 1 species